CCUACGGGUGGCAGCAGUGAGGAAUAUUGGUCAAUGGGCGGGAGCCUGAACCAGCCAAGCCGCGUGAGGGAAGAAGGUACAGCGUAUCGUAAACCUCUUUUGUCAGGGAACAAAGGCGGGGACUAGUCCCCGGAUUGGGGUACCUGAAGAAAAAGCAUCGGCUAACUCCGGUCCAGCAGCCGCGGUAAUACGGAGGAUGCGAGCGUUAUACGGAUUUAUUGGGUUUUAAGGGUGCGCAGGCGGCCUGUUAAGGCAGCGGUAAAAGGCCGGGGCUCAACCCCGGCGAGCCGUUGAAACUGGCGGGCUGGAGUUGGAGAGAAGUACGCGGAAUGCGCGGUGUAGCGGUGAAAUGCUUAGAUAUCGCGCAGAACCCCGAUUGCGAAGGCAGCGUACCGGCUCCACACUGACGCUGAGGCACGAAAGCGUGGGGAUCGAACAGGAUUAGAUACCCCUGUAGUC
rnacentral:rRNA from 1 species